rnacentral:rRNA from 1 species
UUAUUGGAGAGUUUGAUCCUGGCUCAGGAUGAACGCUGGCGGCGUGCCUAAUACAUGCAAGUCGAGCGAAUGGAUUAAGAGCUUGCUCUUAUGAAGUUAGCGGCGGACGGGUGAGUAACACGUGGGUAACCUGCCCAUAAGACUGGGAUAACUCCGGGAAACCGGGGCUAAUACCGGAUAAUAUUUUGAACCGCAUGGUUCGAAAUUGAAAGGCGGCUUCGGCUGUCACUUAUGGAUGGACCCGCGUCGCAUUAGCUAGUUGG